rnacentral:rRNA from 1 species
GAGUAAAGAUUUCGGUCGCUUUGGGAGGAGCUCGCUUACUAUCAGCUUGUUGGUAGGGUAAUGGCCUACCAAGGCUAUGACGGUUAGGGGGUGUGAGAGCAUGACCCCCAGCAUUGGCACUGAAACACUGGCCAAACACCUACGGGUGGCUGCAGUCGAGAAUCUUCCACAAUGGGGGAAACCCUGAUGGAGCGAUGCUGCGUGCGGGAUGAAGGCCUUCGGGUUGUAAACCGCUUUUGUAGGGGACGAAAUUUUUGACGGUACCUUUCGAAUAAGAGGUUGCUAACUCUGUGCCAGCAGCAGCGGUAAUACAGAGACCUCAAGCGUUAUCCGGAUUUACUGGGCGUAAAGCGUCUGUAGGGGGUUUAUUAAGUUCCAAGUAAAAUUUCAAGGCUCAACUUUGAAUUCGCUUGGAAAACUAAUAAACUGGAGUCUAGCAGAGGUGCAUGGAACUUGUGGUGUAGGAGUGAAAUCCGUUGAUAUCACAAGGAACACCAAAGGCGAAGGCAUUGCACUGGGCUAGCACUGACCCUGAGAGACGAAAGCGUGGGGAGCAAA